CAGUUUUCUUUAUUCGUUCCCUCAAGCCCUAACAAUGCAGGCAAUAAAUGACCUGAUAAGGGGCACGUGAUGCCAGCGAAGAAGAUGGUUCCAGAAGGCACAGAAGACUGUGUGCAGAAGAGGGCAUGGAGUGAGGAACAACCUGACCUGAAGCAACUGUCCAGGCCUGGAGUAGCGCCUGAAGCUAGAAGGCACCAGAUGAAGGCAAGAGGGUCCAGCCCAGGUCUUUGGCUCAGGCCAGGACACCUGGGGCCUUCCUUGUCUGGGCAUAUGGAAGGUGUAGGGACAGAUUAUAAAAUCCUUGACAGCAAGUAAAAGCUAAGUACAGUUUGCUGAAUGAAUACAAGAAAUGAGGUCACAGAAAGAGCAAAGCCCACAAAACAACAGCAACAGCUUUGGGAUGCUGCCAGCAGGCAAAGCAUUGAGAGCGGAAAGCCUAAUCCUAUGCCCUCGUGAAAAGUAUCACACUGCAGGAAACCCGUAACUCAGCAGAUAGGGCAGUUUCCUGCAGAAAAGCCCCUCAUGAGAAGGGGCUGAGUGACAAGAUUUAGUGCAGGCAGAGAGCCCACCUUCAACCAACUACAAUCAGAGGAGAGAAAUUUUUAACCUUUUGCUAAAGUCAUUAAUGGAACUGUACUACCUGCUACCUAAGAACUAAAACGUUUGGUCAGAACUUCCCACUCUCCCUCUCCCACUCUGACCCUGUGCUAACCGGCAAUGCAGUACCCAGAAAGCAAGGAGAAAACCACUUAGAGAUCACUUUUCUAUUUUCAUGGAUUAAAAUGAAACAAAUUUUCAGUGGAAAUGCGUAACUAUCGCUGUUAAGUACCAAUCCAUCUCAUCUUAAAGGUUUGAAAGUACAAAUCUAAGAAACGAAAUAUGUUGAAACUUACUCUUUAAUACAACCGGUUCCCAGGAAACCCAAGAAGUCCUGGGAUCUAACGGAGGAAGGCAGACACACCAACUACUCACUCCCCCCACUCCCAUCCAAGCUCUGAGGAGGGUACAAGGCCCCCAAGACUCAAUUCUUCACACUCUCACCUCCCAGGAAGACCUCCACUCAAGGGUAAAAGCAGUAACAUAGAAUAGUUCCUAACUGCAAGGCCUCAACGAGCUGCUACUACGGCCAGAAUGAAUCCAGAAACCACACAGGCCUUGGGGAAGUAAGAGCUCUGAGACAAAGUCAUGCCUUCAACUGGUAGAAGGCUUGGAGGGACACACAAAUGGUCAGAGCUUCACCUUUCCUAAACAGUGCCUUCCUAUGUGCCCAAUUGGGAACUAAGCUUAAAUAAAAGCUAUCUUUCACUUC